UGUGGAUAUGUCUGUGUGCAUGUUUGAAACAGAUCUGAACAGCUUCCCAUUUCAACUCCAUAGAUACGUGACUCUCCAAGUGCUUUAUUUUGAAAACUAGGACGUAGCACUUUGCAGAAGAAAAAUCAGUCCACUUGCUAUUAUUUAUGUGAUCGCUGAUCUGCUAGAUGGAUAUAGAAAGCACCAAGAAUUAUAAUAAUUUAUGGAGUGGAGCACUGGUUUACAAACAUAUUUCUCUGCCCGAGCUUUGUGUGUUUCUUUGCGUCUCGGGGCUCGUUCUGUGCAAUGGGAACGGAGGAUAUUCAGAAUUUGAAGACAAGCCCGGCGAGCCGACUGCAUUCAUAGCUAAAAUUAAAGGAAUAAGUGAGCAGCUAUUUGUGGCAGACAGGACAUGAUCCAGGACCACUUAGGAAGGGUUAGCGUGGUUUCUCUGUGACAUUUUGCCACAUUGCAACAAAAGCCCUAGUAAGCACUGCCUUUGCUGAGCCAAGCCGGCUUUUUCUCUGCAUUGCCCUGAGCCACCGGCCUGAAGACGGGCAGCUGCACUUUGGGCUGACCCGUUAGAGAGGCUGGGGCUAUUCAGUCGCUCCUACUCUCAGUUACAGGCCCCAAGAGGAGACGGAGCCAAGGUGCGUCUGGGAUUCUGGUGAAAGCUUUCCAAGGUGGGGUUCCUCAGAACGCCGCAGCGGGGACGGCUGUUGGGGGAGAUGUUUCUCUGGAAGCUUCUCAUGCUUAAUAAGACAGUCGUUUCUCUGUGCUCAUUGACUGUCAUCCGAGUUUUGGACCCAGGACAGCACCAUAUUAUGCUAGCCCCCCAGUGAUUGUUAAAGAGCUGCCGAUGAGAGAAACACAGGUGGGUUCUGGGGAUGGAUGCCUUACGGGCCUGGCACCGGCUUUGAUCAGAGUGACCUUUCCCUUCCAAACGAGAGCACUUUUGAGAGCCGGAGACUAUGGUAAUAGUGGCACAGGGACAGCAGAUGUGAACUGGGGCUGUCCUGGGCCCAUGCUGACUUUGAGAGGCCUGUGUUGGCUGGAAGUGAUGCUUCAAGUCACACGGUGAAGCAAAAUCUAUCUUUGGUCUGCAGGGCAGCAGCUCCUCUGGUAGUGCAAUGCUCCAAGAUCUUCCUCACACAUCUUCGGACAGAGAGGGGCCACCAGACUGAUCCAAGCAUCUCUUUUGCAAAAAUCCAUCUGCUGCUGAGAUGCUCUGUGUGAGCCAAGGCCUCUCUCUCUCUCCUUCCUGGGCAUUCGGCACACACUGGCUGGCCUUGCUGUUUGGUGGGGGCCUUCUUAGGGGCCCACAGACCCCCUCCACUGCAACUCCUCAAAACAGAGUUCUGAGGAGGUCUGUUGUCUGCCUGGCUGGUUCGCCGCGUCUGUGCCCUUGGAGGUCUAGUUUCCUGUCUGGGUCCUGUGGCUCCCAGAACAGGAUCUGGCCCAGAGCAGGAGCAGCAGCAGGUGCAUUGGGGCUGACCAGUGCCCUGCAGUGUCCAGAUGGGGGUGGUGGUGAAGAAUUUGCCUAGAAAAAUGAGUCAAGAGUGGAUUGUAGUGGAUGUGUCCAGCCACAACUCCCUGGGAAGUCAAAGCCUCAGAGUCUUACUCAGUGGGCCGAGAGGGAAGGGGUCAGGCUCCAUGGGCUUUCAGGCAGGAGAGGAGGGGUUGCUUGAAAAUCCCUUCUGCAUUCUUGAAAUUUCCCUGGGGAGCUUCUAAGUUCAUCAGAACUUUCUAACUGGAGGGGAAGAGACAUGGAGUGAGCACCUCCCCUGUGCUAGGCCCUGGCAGGGGCUUUUGAAUCUCCUGUGUCCUUCAGUGCUCCAGCAGCCCAGGAAGGAAGGUUUGAGAAUCCACAUGUUUGUAGAUGAAAAACUAAGAUUAAGGGGGGCAAAGCUGCUUUUGAGUCCUGCUGUCAGACUCAAAGGCAUGUGUCGUUUCUC
rnacentral:sRNA from 1 species